UGCUGUAAAAUUCAAGUUUUUCUAUUAGUUCCAUAACCUCUUUGUAGUCACAGCAUCCACCUGAGGUCGAAGUUCAUCAUGGUAGCAGAGCUGAGCAAGACUGAGGAUAGUGCAUGGACUUCAUAUUAAAAAGAUAGGAAUUUGGGGCAGGGGUUGUGGCUCAGUGGUAGAGCACUUGCCUGGCACAUAUGAGGCACUAGAUUUGAUCCUCAGCAUCACAUAAAAAUAAAUAAACAAAAUGAAGGUAUUGAGUCCCUCUACAACCAAAAAAGUGCAUUUAAAAAAAGAUAGGGAUUUAAGUUCUCUCUCAUUUAUCAGCUACAUAGCUUUGGACAAUUGGUGUACAUAGUUUUAGCAGAGUGUUCUUAUCUUUAAAACAGAAAUGGUAAGUCUUACCUUAUAAUUAGCAGACCAAACACUUUUUGCUAUUUGAUCUAUUAUUAUUUGAUAAAAAAUUUUGUUUAGUAGCCUGGCAUAAAAACCAUAAAGAAAAUGAUAAUGAAGUAAAUGUAACCUAAAUCAUAUGUAAAAUAUGCAUUCAAUUAGUUGGCAUAAGGUAUUCAUAAAUCUCCUUUCAUCAUUUUGCUGUGUUAGGAUCUGUAUUGAUAGACCUACUUUCAUUUUCUUACUGGUAAUUUCUCUUGAUCUCUUCUUUCCUGGAAGAUUAUACAUUUUUAUUAAUUAUUAUACAGUAGCACAGUUUGAUAAUGCUGUUUGCCAGUUUUCUUUUUCAUUGGUAUCUGCUUUUAGUUUUAUUUAUUUUUUUCUAUCUUAUACUUUCUUUAGGUGUAUGACUUUUUUCUGCCUUCUCAAGGUUGAAACUCAUAUCGCUAAUUAAACUUUUCUUAAGUUGCAGUGCAUGUAUUUAAAGGGAUUAAUUUCCCUUCAAGGUCUACUUUAACUGAAUCUCAUAUAUUUUGAUAUAAUGUUGGUCCAACUGAUGUGUUCACUUUGCUAACAAUAAUCCGACAGUCCUUUUCUGAUUUAAGUUCUAAGGCAGACAAGAAACUCAUAUGUAUCCCACUGUUACAGUAUAACCAAAAGGCAGAAAAUACUAUGAAUUUUGAAUUAAUGCAUAAGUAGAGAAAUAAAUACUCAAAUCUAUCAAAGGCACAUUGGAUACUGGAUUAAUGACUAAUCUAAUGGAUACUGACUGGAGAAGAAGGUAUUGCAUGGGGGGCUUCAGAGGAAUAGACAGAAAAUCAACCUUGUAAAAAUAAUCUUCUAUUCUGAGUGAAGACAUUUUGAAACCUAGCCUGGGACCUGGAAUACAGCUGUAUAUUGAAAGGGGCUUGAAUGUGGAGAGAAUCAGAGGUGAUAGACUUGGGAAGGUGUUGAUCUUGGGAGUAGAGUGGGGACUUCAAUGGUUCAGGAUCCUCUAAGAGACAUAGCAGUAAAAAGAAAAAGGAAGUAAGUGGAUGGAUUGAAGUAUUUUUAGAAACAAAAAGGAAUCACAAAAUCAGCCCAAUGAACUUUUGAUACAUUAUUGAAACUGCACUGCCCUGUACUAGCACUAGAGGGUGAUCUUGAACUAAGAAACUCAGCAAUCCACCAAAAUUCUUCCCUUAAUAUUCAAACCACUGUGCAUAGCACAGGAAAAUAGACUUCACAAAAUAAACCAAAAACUGAAGAUGUGAUCUAGCCUCUGUUAGCUAGAAUAUAGUGUCUCCAGUAUAAGAAUAAAGAGAAGAACAAGAAUGACUUCAACACCAGUAAUGAAGCCAAAGGGUACUGUAAUAUUAGGUCUCAGAUGGAAUCAAGCAUUCAUGAAUUGAAGGAAAAUUCAAAAUAGAAAUGAAAUGAACAGAAUACAGAAAGACAUGAGUGAACUCAGGAAAGAAUAAAAAAACCCAAAAAUCGCAUUGAAAAUGGAGAUUAAAUGACAAAUGAAUAAAGUUUUGAAAUUAAAACAUAACAAAGGGCAUUGUAAAAUGGCAUAAAACAGCAAAGAAAAUGAUAAUGAAGUAAAUAGGUAAAUGAGUAUCAGCAAUUGCCUGCGUUUGCUAAUGUUGCAAAACAAUGAACAGCAGUGAGAAAUAACACAAAUAUAUUUCCUCAUAAUUCCUGUAGGCCAUAAGUCCAGUUGCAACUUUCCUGGGUCCUCUACUUGUGGUCUCACAGCCUACAAUCAAGCUAAGCUAGGCUGCAUUGCUAACUGGAGGUUUGACUAGAGAAGAAUCCACUUCCAAGUUCUUUUAGGUUACUGGCUGGAUCCACCUACUUAGAGGUGAAGCACUGAGGGCCCUCUUUCAUGCAGACUGCUGACCAGGGUCCACACUCAGCUGCUACAGUCUACAUGGACUUUCACAGGUGCUAACACAACAUGGAAUUUAUUUCAAAGGCAGGAAGAGAGAAUCUCUCAAGCAUGAUAAGAUAAAAGUCUCAUAAAAACACAACGAUGGAGCAAUAUUCUAUCACCUUUGCCCUAUAACGUCUAACCAAGGGAAGGGAAGGACAUCCUAUUACAUUUGUCAUGUAGCAUAGCCUCUUCACCUUUGCCACAUAAUUCUGGUUAAAUUCAAGUCACAGGUUCCAUUUGCACUAGAGGGGAGGAGGUUACACAAGGGUAUUACUCAUUAGGGGUCACUUUUGUGUGCAUCUGCCUUCCGGCCCUAUUGGCUUAUAUGUCUCCCAUGUGUAAAAUACAUUCAUUUUAUGCCAAAGUCCUAAAGUAUCGUUCUAUGAUAACAACAGCCCACAGUCCAAAAUUUCACGUAAAUCAGGUCCAGCUGAGGAUGAGGCACCUGGGAAUAAUUCAGUACAACUAACUCCUGGGAUAGGACUCUUCUCCAUCUGUGGACCUGUGAAGCUAGGGACAAAUUAUCUACCUCCAAAAUACCCAGUUUGUAAUUGUGGGGCAGGCAUAGGGUAAGAGCUACAGGCAUUCUUAUUCAAAAAAGGAUAAAGUAGAAGGUUAAAAGGGAGUCACUGGUCCAUUCCAGUUCUGAAUUCCAGAUGGGAAAACUCUAGCCAGACUCCUUUGGCUAGGUUCUAAGGACUGGGAGUAACCUCUACACGCUCACUUUCACAGGUGUGGAAGGGAAGGGCCAGCUUCCUUCCUGCAGGGUGACAAUGCCACUUACUCUUCCAGGUUUCAGUGGCUCUUGGCUGUAUUCUCUGGAUUUGGGGUCUGCCCUGAAUCAUCUUUCUCUUUUCGUGGAAGGUGCAUGUGUUUGCAGAUGAGUAGUUUUAUCAGUUCACUUCCUGCUCGUGGAAUUUUGUGAGUCCACAAGCCUGCUUCACUGUGCUUUCUCCCAUUCAGUGUAGGCAAACACAUUUCUUAAAAUCUUUGUGUGUCUUCAGUGUAUUCAGGAGGAUUCAUCCAAGUAGAGUGAAAAGCCACAUCCAUGAAUCUUUUUGAAACAGUCUCUUCUCUGUGUGCUCUCUGCUGAGGUGGUUGAGGGACAACAGCUGAGAGGACAGGUGAGAGGAUCCUUUGUGUGACUG
rnacentral:lncRNA from 1 species